rnacentral:rRNA from 1 species
UGCCUCAGUAACGGCGAGUGAAGCGGCAAAAGCUCAAAUUUGAAAUCUAGCACCUUCGGUGUUCGAGUUGUAAUUUGAAGAUGGUAACCUUGGGUUUGGCUCUUGUCUAUGUUCCUUGGAACAGGACGUCAUAGAGGGUGAGAAUCCCGUCUGAUGAGAUGCCCAUUCCUAUGUAAGGUGCUAUCGAAGAGUCGAGUUGUUUGGGAAUGCAGCUCUAAGUGGGUGGUAAAUUCCAUCUAAAGCUAAAUAUUGGCGAGAGACCGAUAGCGAACAAGUACAGUGAUGGAAAGAUGAAAAGAACUUUGAAAAGAGAGUGAAAAAGUACGUGAAAUUGUUGAAAGGGAAGGGCAUUAGAUCAGACUUGGUGUUUUACGAUUAUCUUCUCUUCUUGAGUUGUGCACUCGUAUUUCACUGGGCCAGCAUCGAUUCGGAUGGCAAGAUAAUGGCAGUUGAAUGUGGCUUCACUUCGGUGGAGUGUUAUAGCUUCUGCUGAUAUUGCCUGUCUGGAUCGAGGGCUGCGUCUUUUGACUAGGAUGCUGGCGUAAUGAUCUAAUGCCGC